GUGAUUUAGUUUAAGAACAACGACACAUCACCAUGCCGAACAUGAAUAGUUAAGAACUUAAACACCUGUAGUACUUAAUUAAAGGGAGAAUGGGUUU
rnacentral:rRNA from 1 species